GCAGUGGCAUAGUUGGUAGCGCUCCUGCUUUCUACGCAGGUGAUAGGGUUCAAAUACCGAGAUCAACC